GGUGAAAAUGUCUCUCUCUCUCUCUCCUUUUUUCUCACCCUCAGAAUUGAAUCACAGAGACGUCUUCACUCUUUCUCUCUCUGAUUUUGAUUUCAAAAUUUGAAACUCCAUUCUCUCUCAUACCUCUUCCUCUUCUCCUUCCUCUUCCCACCAAACAUCUUCCUCUUUCCACCAAGCUUUCUUUACAAGUUUGAUCUCCUAUGGUGAUUUUCGGAAUACAGCCCCGGUGGUGAUUUCUACCAUCUGCCUCAAUCUCUGCCUUCUCUCUCUCUACGCAGCUCCAAGGUACAUGCCUUGGCGAAGGAGUGUUUGAUUAACUCAUAAAAAGUUGUUAUGGCUUUGUUUGCUACAAUGGUUGAUUAGGGGAGAAGUUUUCAAAGAUUGUAGGGAGUCCAUACUAUAUGGCGCCGAAGGUUUUGAAGCGGAAUUAUGUUAUGUGGGGUUCCUCCAUUUUGAGUAGGUAUUGUUUUUCUUCAUGUAAAGGUUGCUGAUAUAAGUAUGGUUAUGGACCUAUGGUGUCAAUAGUCUUAUGAUUUGUAUUGUUGAGUUGUUUUGCUCUCAUUGUAUGUUGUAGAAAUGAAUUGUAUUGUUACUUUGGCAAUUCUGCGGGGGUUGGUUGAGACGUAUUCACAAUUUUCAAUUGAAGGUUGGAAGCAAAAUGAA